rnacentral:rRNA from 1 species
UACGUAGGGUGCGAGCGUUUGUCCGGAAUUAUUGGGCGUAAAGAGCUCGUAGGCGGUGUGUCACGUCGGCCGUGAAAACCUGGGGCUUAACUCUGGGCAUGCGGUCGAUACGGGCAUCACUAGAGUUCGGCAGGGGAGACUGGAAUUCCUGGUGUAGCGGUGAAAUGCGCAGAUAUCAGGAGGAACACCGGUGGCGAAGGCGGGUCUCUGGGCCGAUACUGACGCUGAGGAGCGAAAGCAUGGGUAGCGAACAGG